AACGAAAAAAGGAAGCUUCCUUCUGAGAGUGACUGAAGCCAGUACAACAGACAACGGCAAAAUAUCUUCCCUCAUGCAUUCUGUGCUAUACAUCAAUCAUCAAUGUCUUUGCUUUGGCAUUGAAGUGAAAUUUCAGUCCUCGUAUUAUCUUCAAGAUUCUGUUUUGGCGCAGAUUAAUGUCUUUCUCAGGUUAUGCAUUUCACCCCUGGAAGCAAACUGGAGCUGUUACUUGAACUAGAUUAUUGGUUAGUUUAUAGCUUGAAGCCAUGUCAGCUUAUGCCCAUCAAAUGCAGCAGCAGUCCUCUGCAAGUAGUUCCUCAACUGAUUCUGAGACAGGUAGCCAUUAUGAGCUAUUGUCAGGAUUCUACAUGACAUCUUUUACCGCGACAAUCUUUGUUGGUUCACUUGUUUCUCUUGGAGUUUUGUUAAUUACUUUGCUGAUUUUCAUGGUGAUUAUGCUGCAAUCCUGUCAAAGUAAGAGUACCGGAGUUAUUGAGCUUCUCAAUAUGCUUGAUUAUUACAGUUAUUGCAGGGUGCAUUCUCUGCAUGUUGAGCUCAAUAACUUGGAAGGAUAUGAUCUUCCAAACUUCUGCAAAGAUCUGGCUAUACAUUACAUCAAAGGAGGUCAAUAUGCUAGAGACUUGAACUUAACUGUGUCUAUGAUUGAUUAUUACUUCAAGAGUGUUAGACCUUCAGAUGAUGGUUUGGAUGUCGUGUUGAUGGACAUAGAUGACAUUGUUCCUCAGAAUCCUUAUUCUUUUAGUUUGUCUCAUAGGUUUCAUAAUGACAGCAUUAGCAACUGUAUCAAGGAGGCAAAGAAUACAAAUAUCAUGCUUGUUUCAAGAUUAUACUUGAACCUCCAAACUAAUGGAUGGUCUAUAAUUUUGCUAUCAAGAGAGCCUGGAAUAUACCAAAAUGUCACCAUUAAUCAUCUUGUUUCUGUUGGAUUUAGAGGUUGGGCUUCCUUGAUGAUGAGGUAUAGUAACUAUGAUCCUUUUAUCUAUCCAAGAAAAUGCCAAAGUGCAUGUUUGGAUGUAUGGUAAAAAAUCACGGUGAGCAGAAGCCCCUUGUCUUAGUUUUUGUGAUUGUCCACAUGAUUUUGGCCUCACCGUGGCCAAACAUGCACUAAGGAAAGAUCCUAAGUUAUUGGCCAAUUUUUUUUUUAAGAUCUAGCCUUCUCUCGAGGUCUCAUGGGUUCUCAAUUGGUUUCAAUGCUUUAAAAUUGCUCUUCUUGGAUUGAUAUUUACAAACAUAUUUAAGAGAGGAGAAGAUUCAGAUUCUACCAAAGGGAAUGAGUACUUUUCUAGGCAAAGGAAUGUGAUACUGAAGAAGGGUUUCCGAAUAAGAAGUAUCAUAAGCAGCCAUAUGGAUGCGUUGAUCGCUCCAGGCACAGG